CUUUGGCUGACGAGUCUUAAAUAGGACGAAACGUACGUCCUAGAU
rnacentral:hammerhead_ribozyme from 1 species